UACAGAGGGGGCAAGCGUUGUCCGGAAUUACUGGGCGUACAGCGCGCGCAGGCGGUUGCCGACGUGCCGGUGUGACAAACGGGGGCUCAACCCCCGAGGGCCACGGUAAACGGGGCGACUGGAGGGAGGGAGAGGGAUGUGGAAUGCCCGGUGGAGCGGUGAAAUGCGUAGAGAUCGGGACGGGAACACCAGCGGCGAAGGCGGCAUCCUGGACAAUUGCUGACGCUCGAGGCACGAAAGCGUGGGGAGCAAAAGGG
rnacentral:rRNA from 1 species